AAAUAAAAAAACAACAACAUGUAAAAUAGAAUAAAUGAGACUGCAUAGAGUUGAUAAAGUAAGCUUACACUGUUACACUAGAAACAAACAGAUAAGUUUAAAGUCAGGCCACUGAUUUUAGAGAUUUAAUGUUAUUUAAUUAAGAGAAUUCAAAACAUAAAUGAAAAAAUUACAAUGAGACUAAUAAAGCUUAAACUGACCCCAUGGUACCAAACACAGGAUUUUUUUUUAUAGUACUGGUAACUGAGGAAGGUUUAUUACAGGCAUGAGUUUGAUCUUUUUGAAACUAAUUCCUAAAAAAAUGUUUUCCUAGGCAACUUCAAAACUACGGUACUUUGUCAACUAUCCAGAGAUUCAGGGGAAUGAAAUCUUAGACUAUUUAUAAUUAAGAUGUUCCUUCAGAGUUGAAAACAACUACAUUCUAGCUUGAACUUCCCACAAGAAGAUGUGGGGUGGCAGCAGGCAGGGGUCUAACCUAGGAUCAUGGAGACCACCAAACAAUAGUGUUUAUGAUUAAUUGAGUAGACAAAGAAAGGAUGGAUUACUGGAGCUAAAAGAAGGCAUAAUUUAACAAUAGACUACUUUGGGAUAUGGAAUGAGAGAGGCUAUAGUGUUGAUUAAAUAAAUAUGUAGGUCUCAGCUGGGGCUGCACAGCCAUGGGAAAUACUGCAUCUUGGGUCUUAUUAUAAAGCUGCCAUUAUCCAAGGACAUAUGAUUCUCUGGAGGCUUACAUCACUGGAAAAAGUCUUUGGGCCCCUGAAGAUUACAGUACAUGUAAUGCUGCAAAAGGAGGAGGAUGCUGGGCCAGGCACAUACAACUCAAUUUACUUCUAUUGGCUGGAAAUAUUUAAAGCAUGACAGUGGCGUAGGUAAAUUACCAAAUAGUGGAUCUUAUGUUGGAUUGAUCAGCCCUGAUGAACUGACCUGACCAUUGUAAUUGAAACCAUAACUCAUGACCACUCUAUCUGUAUAGGUCCUGGUAUACCCUGGGAUGAUGUUCACCCACAACUUUUAACUUGAAAUCUUAAAGGAAGUUUUGCUAAACUAACAAGCAUGAAUGUCUGGUACAGUAAGAUAGGGUUAAUGGUCAACCUGACAUUAUGGUUCAUUCAUUGGGACAGCUAAUGUUUGUGUCUGACCUAGCAGUUCUCAAGUUAGGGCUUGAUGAAGUCUACAAACUGACCAUUAUAUCUACUGGACAAAAAGGAUCAUAUUCUGACCCCCUCCCUCCCAACCAUUUCGUCUGCCUUAUCUUGAUGACUUUGAAGGGUACAAAUGCACUUGGAGCUUUUGAUGGUGUUCUGUUCAAUGCAACAAUUCCCACAUCUCCAGCAGCUGGCUUUGCAGCUAUUGGCGCAGACAGCUAUGGCUUGGAUGAUUUUGAUAAUUAUCUGCUUCCGCUCUUCAAAACUCAAACGCGCGUCUGCCAUGUUGCAGUUAAUUCCUUGCCACUCUGGUACUGUGUGUGGUACAGAACCACCUUCACAUUUAUUUUUCUAAUUAGACAUUAAGCUUUCCAUGUGCUGAAAUUUAGCAGCAAAUUGUCUAUGACAGUUCAAAGUGUGUAUACAUUUUUUUGGACGCACCCUGUAUAUAUAUUGUAUUCAGUGAUUUUUUACCAUUUUCUAAUAUUAGUUUGUUAGCUCAAUAACUAUUAACCUUUUAGAUUGUUAUCUUUCGUAAUGUUAAGACUAGAAAACAAGAUCUCAAAAUUAUAUUUAGGACGAUGAUUACAAUUACUUAGUCAAUUACUUAGAUAAAAUAAUUAUAAAACAAAAGUUAUAUAAAGACAUAAUUAUACAAUGUUUAUGUAACGUUGAGAAAUUAGCGAUUGGUUGGCGGAUAUGCAGUGAGGAUGGUGAAAUUACAAAAAUGGUCUAGUGUAAUGCAAAUUACCCAGGGAUCUGAAACUGUACAGACAGGUUUUUUGUAGUGAGUUAGAUUUUGUUUAAAAUACCAUUUUAUAUUAUUGCUACUAGAUUUAUUUCAUUUCAUCUAGGUUAGUAUUAGGGUUAGUGUUAUGUUGUAAUAAAAGUUAUAUUUAGUUUUGUUUCAAAAAAGAAGUUUUUUCAAGUUUCACAAUUAAAUAUAUAUAUAUAUAUCCAAGCAGUAGUUCUCACCAAACUUUCAUACACUGGCAGAACUACCUUAAAAAAAUGUUCUGCUGGAGGCUGGUGUGGGUAGUAUAGAAGAAAUACUUAUUCAACAGCUGUGAUGGGUUGGAAAAUUAUCCCACAUGGGGGGCGACUGCAUGCCAAAUGGUAUCUUCAAGGAUGGCGUAACGGGGUACUCCUGUAAGCACUAUAAAGAUUAACUCAGGCACCUUUUUGCCAUAGAGGAAAGUAGGUUGUAAUAGGGUUUAUGAAAACACUGCACUCAUCUUUUAUCUUCAGCAUCAUUAUUAUUAUUAAACCAUUACUCAAAUUUUGCUUUGUUAUUUUGCCAUGUAGCGAUUUACUGCUGCUGGGGUGAACAAUGCUUAAAAAAAUAAAAAUAUGCUGUGUUUUUACUUUGGCCCAGCGGUGGCUCCCACAUUUAUGUCUUUUGUAUUUUUCUUUACCAGUUCUGUUACUAUGCAAAUGCAAAAAAAAAAAAAUGCAAGUUGUUGCACUAUUGAUAUUUUUUAUACUAAUUUUUUAUUUAUAUUAUUAAUUAUUUAUUAUUAUCUAAGCAUCUGUUUGUAUUUGAGCUGGGUAAUGAAUAUAGAUUCUUAAAUUUAAUUGUUGUUUGUUGCUUUACUCACUUUUAAACUGUGACCAUGUAAAUUUUGUCUAGCAGGAGAAUGGUAAUGUCUUAGUGUUAAUGAUUAGAUUGAGAAUGGUAAUGUCUUAGUGUCAAUGAUAACAGUGAGAAUGGUAAUGUCUUAGUGUCAAUGAUAACAGUGAGAAUGGUAAUGUCUUAGUGUUAUUGAUUAGAUUGAUAAUGGUAAUGUCUUAGUGUCAAUGAUUACAUUGAGAAUAGUAAUGUCUUAGUGCCAAUGAUAACACUGAGACAAUCAUUACAUUGAGAAUAGUAAUGUCUUAGUGCCAAUGAUAACACUGAGACAAUCAUUAGAUUGAGGAUGGUAAUGUCUUAGUGUCAAUGGUGUAACAAUAUGAUUAGAGUGAGAUGCACGAGAUGAUUUCAGUUCACGUGAAAAUGGGUCUUACACAUUGUCAAGCAAAGAGGUACCAUUUUUGAUCACAUGAUCACAUUUUUUUAGUAAGUUAGCGCCAUGAUGUAUCAAGAGACGUAGGUGUCUCUGUUUUAUGAAAUUGGAUUAAAUAAUAUGAGUACCUAAUUGGAGAUAUUUCUAUGGAUGUAGUUUGUAUUUGAUGUGAAAUAAUUCGUGAUGAUAUUUUAUGGCUGAGAUUGCCUACUUUCUGAACUAUUAUUUGAUGUAAUAAAUAUUUGUCUGCCAGA